rnacentral:rRNA from 1 species
GAGUUUGAUCCUGGCUCAGAACGAACGCUGGCGGCAGGCCUAACACAUGCAAGUCGAACGAAGUCUUCGGACUUAGUGGCAGACGGGUGAGUAACGCGUGGGAACCUACCUGGAGGUUCGGAAUAACUCGGGGAAACUCGGGCUAAUACCGGAUACGCCCUUACGGGGAAAGAUUUAUCGCCUUUAGAUGGGCCCGCGUUGGAUUAGCUUGUUGGUGAGGUAAAAGCUCACCAAGGCGACGAUCCAUAGCUGGUCUGAGAGGAUGAUCAGCCACACUGGGACUGAGACACGGCCAGACUCCUACGGGAGGCAGCAGUGAGGAAUAUUCGGCAAUGGGCGCAAGCCUGACCGAGCCAUGCCGCGUGAGUGAAGAAGGCCCUAGGGUUGUAAAGCUCUUUCACCGAUGAAGAUAAUGACGGUAGUCGGGGAAGAAGCCCCGGCUAACUUCGUGCCAGCAGCCGCGGUAAUACGAAGGGGGCUAGCGUUGUUCGGAAUUACUGGGCGUAAAGCGCACGUAGGCGGAUUGUUUAGUCAGGGGUGAAAUCCCGGGGCUCAACCCCGGAACUGCCCCUGAUACUGGCAAUCUCGAGUUCGAGAGAAGGUGGAGUG